rnacentral:sRNA from 1 species
UUUGAGAUUCCAAUAGUACCAUACACAAUAGCCUAACCAAACACACCAUUUAUUCAUGGACGAGUGAACAGGUGCGCAUGUUAUAGUAAACCAUUCCGCUGUACUGAGCAGACUUAAAUGUAGAUGAUGAAUUUUUUAAAGCAAAGUACAUUCAAUGUAUAUAGAUCUAAAGGUCUACACUACCGGGAAAGACACGAAUGCCGUUUGAAUAAUAUUUUAGACUUGCAAGGAGAAAGGACAAAUCAGAAAUUUUACGAAAAUUAACAGACGAUGAUUUGUUAAAAUUUUUAUAGGAGUCUUAUGAAGUCAAAGUGCGACAAUAUUCCCUAUAUUGUUAAAACUAAGGAAAAGGAGUUAUAUGGUUCAAGGUUCAAAGAGGAAGUCUAAAAGUGUUUAUUGAAGUGAUUUAUAUGUGAUCCCAAAUCUAUCAAAAUGAAGAAAAGGAGAUAUUUCUGAUGAAAUUUCAUUUGUGGCUUAUCGGAUAUACAUUUACGGAUGACAAGAUUCUAUAAAUUUGGAUUUAUGUUGGAAAUACAUGUUUUAACAUUU